GAAGUCAUAAAUUACCAGAAUUGGUCCACAAAAACCUCACUUUUCACCCUUACGCUUCCAGACUCAUCCAAAUGAUGAACCUUUAAGCAUGAUUUUUAAAGGCUGAUAUCCUCAUAUCAGAAAGGUUUCAUUAAAGUAAUCUCCAAUAUAGGAAGCAGUUCCUCCUUGUGACCUCCAUAAAUAAUGUCUAUAAAGAAAACUUCUAGAAACCUAGUACAACACCCUUCUAAGAAUGAAAUAACAAUAUACAUCCAUAUCAUUAAUACCAUGCAAGCUGAACCAUGACAUGUCAACCAAAUAAAAAAGAUAAAAACUCAUAAACAGCAUAGCAUAAAUGUUUAGUAAAUGGAGUUCAUCCAAGCAAUAGAUUAUUAGCAAUGACAUCAUACAUGUUUCUGUAACAUUUUUAUAAACAAAUAUCAGAAUGUUCAUCACAUUAGGCACCUACAUUGACCACUUCAAAAUACAAAAAGUCACUAUUUAACAGAUCAGCCAGCAGUUCAAAAAAUGAUAGCAUCAUACAAGAAACUGAUAAAUUGCAAUCAAUGUCUAUCCCAUACCAGAAAAAACAAUAUCUGACAUUCAAUCAGUAGACAUUAGAUAAAUAUAAU
rnacentral:misc_RNA from 1 species